CCCAAUUGCACAUUGCUCGUCCUCGGACUUGAGAGUAAAGGACAAUGCGUAACAUAAGGUAGCAAUUAGCGUUUUAUUUAUGUGCAUAUGUACUAAUAAUUGCAUAAUCACUGAUUGUGAGGGGCGAGAAAAUAUACAUAAUCCCCCUCAGCUGCCUUGCUGACCUUCAUCUAGAUAUCUCUGACGGUAUGGGAGCUGUGUCCAAAAUACAUUUGGCAAAUUGUAAAGUUUUGAACGCAAACCGACGAGAAAGCGGAUGUGACGUUAAACCACAGUUUUGUCUUCAGCAAGAAAAUAGCUGUUUGCCUGUUAUCCAUUCCAUUAAUUUGCUGGCAUUGGGAACGAAUGACGAUUAAGAGAACGACAAAGUUGAUGAUUUAAACGAAGAUGGGGUAACCAGAUUCACAGUCAGAGCACACAACGUGCAUUCGCAUACCUGCUCGACUCUGACUUUCUCCAAGUAUUUUUUAGCACAGCUAAAAAAUUUAGCGAACUGGUUAAUGGCAAGAAUAUAACGAACGCCGAAAGUGCAGUACUCUGUUCACGGAUAAAUAUACGUAUUUGUGUUGAAAAUUGAAAAUUACAGUUUGUCUGCUAGAUCAUUGCAUUGUAAUUGAUGUUUCGAAGAGUUAUUUAAACUCGUCCAAUCAGAAAUCCAAUCUGGACGAACCAGGCGGCGUAACUCAGAGCGGAUGACAUUAUUAUUUUCAUAAGUUUUGUCUGCUCUAAGCAGAAUUCGACCCAAUUCACAUGCACAGUUUUUAUUAUUAAAUUGCUGCUUUCGGCUUCUGUAGUAGUUUUGUUUUUCUUCCAUUAAACGAAAUGCACAGCAGUAAUGUUGGAAAUUAACGAAAAAUGACAGCGAAUCCGGUUGUAUAUGAUUCAUUCGUUCAUCGUCAUGCUACCUUUUUCGUUGAUUCAACUCAAUCCUGACGUACAUAUCUAAUAUUAUUUUCUAAUAUUAGCACGAGGGGAGUUUUGCAUUACCCUUUACAACUCAAUUUACCUCGCCAAGUGAACAUUGUAUUGUACAUGUGGAUAUAUAUAAUUUAAGUUUUCCCAAAAAUAAUAAUGUAUCGAUUGAAAAAGUUCAUGUUGUGGUUAAAUUUUGAUGAGAAUCAUUUGGUUCCUG